UACGUAGGGUGCGAGCGUUGUCCGGAAUUAUUGGGCGUAAAGAGCUCGUAGGCGGCCUGUCACGUCUGUUGUGAAAGCCCGGGGCUUAACCCCGGGUCUGCAGUCGAUACGGGCAGGCUAGAGUUCGGUAGGGGAGAUCGGAAUUCCUGGUGUAGCGGUGAAAUGCGCAGAUAUCAGGAGGAACACCGGUGGCGAAGGCGGAUCUCUGGGCCGAUACUGACGCUGAGGAGCGAAAGCGUGGGGAGCGAACAGG
rnacentral:rRNA from 1 species